UACGUAGGGGCCUAGCGUUGUCCGGAUUUAUUGGGCGUAAAGAGCUCGUAGGCGGUUUGGUAAGUCGGGUGUGAAAUCUCCACGCUCAACGUGGAGGGGCCACCCGAUACUGCCAUGACUGGAGUCCGGUAGGGGAGUGUGGAAUUCCCGGUGUAGCGGUGAAAUGCGCAGAUAUCAGGAGGAACACCGAUGGCGAAGGCAGGUCACUGGGCCGCAACUGACGCUGAGGAGCGAAAGCAUGGGGAGCGAACAGG
rnacentral:rRNA from 1 species